UACAGAGGGUGCGAGCGUUAAUCGGAAUUACUGGGCGUAAAGCGUGCGUAGACGGUUUCGUAAGUCGGGUGUAAGUCGAAUCCCGGCUGACACUGGAUGCAUUCGAAACUGCGAGGCUAGGGUACGGAAGAGGGAAGCGGAAUUUCUGGUGUAGCGGUGAAAUGCGUAGAUAUCAGAAGGAACAUCAGUGGCGAAAGCGGCUCCUGGUCCAGUACCGACGUCAGGCACGAAAGCGUGGGGAGCAAACAGG
rnacentral:rRNA from 1 species